rnacentral:tRNA from 1 species
GCCUGGGUGGCUCAGUCGGUUGAGCGUCCGACUUCGACUCAGGUCAUGAUCUCACCGUUCGUGAGUUCGAGCCCCGCGUCGGGCU